rnacentral:rRNA from 1 species
GAUGAACGCUGGCGGCGUGCCUAAUACAUGCCAGUCGAGCGAACGGAUGAGGAGCUUGCUCUUCUGAUGUUAGCGGCGGACGGGUGAGUAACACGUGGAUAACCUACCUAUAAGACUGGGAUAACUUCGGGAAACCGGAGCUAAUACCGGAUAAUAUUUUGAACCGCAUGGUUCAAUAGUGAAAGACGGUCUUGCUGUCACUUAUAGAUGGAUCCGCGCCGCAUUAGCUAGUUGGUAAGGUAACGGCUUACCAAGGCAACGAUGCGUAGCCGACCUGAGAGGGUGAUCCGCCACACUGGAACUGAGACACGGUCCAGACUCCUACGGGAGGCAGCAGUAGGGAAUCUUCCGCAAUGGGCGAAAGCCUGACGGAGCAACGCCGCGUGAGUGAUGAUGGUCUUCGGAUCGUAAAACUCUGUUAUUAGGGAAGAACAAAUGUGUAAGUAACUGUGCACAUCUUGACGGUACCUGAUCAGAAAGCCACGGCUAACUACGUG